AGGACUAACGCUGGCGGCGUGCCUAACACAUGCAAGUCGAACGAGGUAGCAAUACCUAGUGGCAGACGGGUGAGUAACACGUGGUCAACCUGCCUUCGCGUGGGGGAUAACUAGUCGAAAGGUUAGCUAAUACCGCAUACGAUCGUUUCGGGGCAUCCCGAGACGAUGAAAGGAGCAAUCCGCACGAAGAGGGGACUGCGUCCCAUUAGUUAGUUGGUGGGGUAAUGGCCUACCAAGACUCCGAUGGGUAGCUGGCUUGAGAGAGCGACCAGCCACACUGGAACUGAGACACGGUCCAGACUCCUACGGGAGGCAGCAGUGAGGAAUUUUCCGCAAUGGGCGAAAGCCUGACGGAGCGACGCCGCGUGUGGGAAGAAGGCCUUCGGGUCGUAAACCACUGUCGAAGGGGACGAUAUUGACGGUACCCUUGGAGGAAGCCCCGGCUAACUACGCGCCAGCAGCCGC
rnacentral:rRNA from 1 species